rnacentral:rRNA from 1 species
UACGAAGGGGGCUAGCGUUGCUCGGAAUGACUGGGCGUAAAGGGCGCGUAGGCGGCUUGCACCGUCAGAUGUGAAAUUCCUGGGCUUAACCUGGGGGCUGCAUUUGAUACGUGUGGGCUUGAGUGCGGAAGAGGGUCGUGGAAUUCCCAGUGUAGAGGUGAAAUUCGUAGAUAUUGGGAAGAACACCGGUGGCGAAGGCGGCGACCUGGUCCGUGACUGACGCUGAGGCGCGAAGGCCAGGGGAGCAAACGGG